GACGAACGCUGGCGGCGUGCUUAACACAUGCAAGUCGAACGGUGAAAGGGAGCUUGCUCCCUGGAUCAGUGGCGAACGGGUGAGUAACACGUGGGCAACCUGCCCCAGACUUCGGGAUAACGCUUCGAAAGAGGUGCUAAUACCGGAUACGAACUCCUUGGGCAUCCUUGGAGUUGGAAAGUUUUUCGGUCUGGGAUGGGCCCGCGGCCUAUCAGCUUGUUGGUGAGGUAACGGCUCACCAAGGCGACGACGGGUAGCCGGCCUGAGAGGGUGACCGGCCACACUGGGACUGAGAUACGGCCCAGACUCCUACGGGAGGCAGCAGUGGGGAAUAUUGCACAAUGGGCGCAAGCCUGAUGCAGCGACGCCGCGUGAGGGAUGACGGCCUUCGGGUUGCAAACCUCUUUCAGCACAGACGAAGCGCAAGUGACGGUAUGUGCAGAAGAAGGACCGGCCAACUACGUGCCAGCAGCCGCCGCGG
rnacentral:rRNA from 1 species